CUUGGUGACUCAAGCAAGCUGGUCACACCCGUUCCCAUUUCGAACACGGCAGUUAAGCAGCUUAUGCGCUAAUGGUAGUAUGGCUUAUGCCAUGCGAGAGUAGGCCGUCGCCAGGG
rnacentral:rRNA from 1 species